GUGAGCUGGUCCUGGGGUUGGAUAGAACUGCAAGUUAAGCGUGCUCGGGCUAGAGUAGUGUGAGUAUGGGUGACCUUCCGGGAAGUUUGACCACAGAGUGCGAUUUGCAGUAAGGCACUUAUGCCAUCCAUGUAUGAUUUGUGCAGCCAUCAUCUGUAGCAUUGGCUGGAGCCGUCAUCCAAAACAGUUUCACUGAUUCUGAGGUAAGCAACGUGAUUUUUCCAUGUGUUGAUUCAAUCUGGAAAAGUCAAGAUCACAAAUGCUUUUAGGAUUGAUUAAUGAAUUGAAUUACAGGAGUAUUGGACGUCCAGACCUUUUUAGGGACCUUCUAGAAUUAAGAUUUGACAUGAAACAAAUUGUUUUCUACGUUAUACUGUCAUUGCUAACAUUGUUGAUCUCGAGCUGCAUCCUCCAUAAUAGUGACUUCAAAUCUGAGGCUGGCUAGAAGAACAUAUCUCCAUCAGUGCCGUUACCCCUCUGGAAAAUUGUCAUGCUAGCCACCUGACGCUCAUCAUAUCCUCUCCCUCGUGGCAUCCAGCUUUGCAGCAGGGACCAAAAGGUGCUCCAUCACCGGAUUCAUCAUAUUGGAAUCCUCUCUUCUUGUGUGGUUUAGUCAACUUUGUUUUCCUAUAUGGUACAGUUGGGGUCUAGAUCGAAGUCGGCUGAGCUAUUGGGUGGCUCUGAAGAUGUGUUUGUGUUAGAGAUUAGUUUACAUGCAAAAAUGAUAGCAUCACCUCAAGCAUGUAACCGUGGGAGUUAGUCUUUCACUAAUGAUUUGGUAAGCUGUCCAUACUGCCUCGAGGGGGGGGGAGUUUUUAUCACUGCUUUUUGGUUGUAUUUAUGUAAGAGGCACGGAGGGAGCUGGAACUAAUUUGUGAUUUCUCCUGGCCAUUUUUUCUUCUAAAAAGAGCAAGUUUCCUAGUGAUCAAACAUUGUAGAUCAUAAAUGUUCUUCAUCGAUGCCCAUCCCAAUUGCUAACAAUUCUUUUGCACACUCAGGUUGCCAAAUAUAGUACGAAGGAACUAUAGCAAGUGAAUUGUUGAGUUUGCCAAGCAUAAUGGCACACCUAAUUUUGGCAGAUCAUAUAAAGAGGAUAUCGUGCAAAGAUGCUUUGAGAUUUACCCAUGACUAUAUGAGGUUCCUAUAAACUCCUGCUGCAUGUUUAAUGAUUGCCACAAUAGUCUUUUAAUGCACCAGAGAAUUAUAUGUUUUGUAUCAGUGGCAGAGUUCUGGGGAGGCUGCCGGUGUCGUUGUCGAGCGCUGGGGAGGCUACUGGUGCCAUGGCCGAGCGAUGGGGCGAGCUGCCGUGGUGGAUGUGGGAGAGUGACCAGUAAGGCAAGACAGAGUUGUGCUGUUGGUUAUGUCCAUGGCGAGGUUCCAUGAGAUGGCAUAAAAUUUAUUGGAGGAUAUACAUAAUGACUGCGGCUGAGAAUAAUAUUGCUACUCCUGCAAUUUUGUAUCAUGUGUGAGAGGAUAGAACAGAGAGAAGGAAUAUGAUGCAAUUUUGUUUGCUA